CAGUGACUUGAUUCGUGGCGAGUUCUUUCUUACAUACCGCGUGACCUAUCUUUUUUAUUCUUUAAAUCAAUUGGGCUUGGAAUGCUCUUUAAGAAAAGAUGGAUCAUACUUAUAUAAAAGGGGAGAGAGUGUCUGGGUUUCAAGUGAUUGGGAGUAGGUCUGGCCCAGAUCACAUAUACAGUUCCUGUGCCCCCAAAGACUCAAGUACCCCUCCGAAACGAGGAAGCAAGAGGGCAGUGUCAACUCCCACAGGACAAACACCUACACAUGAACAUAAAAGGAUUGAACUAGAUGAAAAAACCAGACACAACAAAUGGUCCCUUGAUGAGACAUCCUUUCUGAGAGAAUACAGUCAGACAUUACGAAAAGAUGGCGAGUCAGAAAACAGUUUCUGGAACAACUGCGCAAUUGCAAUGAACAACAUGUUUGGUGGAAAAAACAGAACAGGUAAAUAAUGAUGCUUGUAAACUUGAUAGUGACUUGGACCAUGGAUACUGUGACAAAGCAUCUGACUAUGCGAACCUUGUUCUACAACUAGGUGUUCUGUUCAUGGAAUUGAAUGAUGUGGUAAAAUACCUAGACAGAGAUAGAUUACUGGCAGUCCUGAAAAUACUUAUGGUCAUCUUAAAAGGACAAAACACCAGAUCGAAGUAUGCUGUUGAAAUUCUUUGUUUAUUGUGUCAGCAAUUUGCUUUGUUUAGUGAGAGUCAGGCAUAUUCUAAUUUGUAUGGAAUGUUUGUUAAUACUGGGGGGAAACUUGAUACAAACAGUCCAGCUGAUUUAGAAAUGGAACACCUGGUUAGAUUGACAAAAGGUCAUCUGAAAGCGAUGUGUUCUAACAAGUCCGAGUCUUCAGUGCGGAAACGAAGUUGUGCAUUUUAUGGUAUGAAGAAAAUCUGUGACAACUUUGAUGAACAAACAAAAGUUGUUCAUCGUGCUCAAAAGCACAAAGUGUUGUCAUCUGUUGAAGAUGAAAAGGCAAUUAUUAAAGACCUGAGAAAAGUGAGGCCAUUUCAGCAUGUGUGUGGAAGACAAAUUGCUUCAAUGAAGCACUGUCCCAAAAA